UAAUACAGAGGGUGCGAGCGUUAAUCGGAAUUACUGGGCGUAAAGCGUGCGUAGGCGGUUUAGUAAGUCAGAUGUGAAAGCCCUGGGCUUAACCUGGGAACUGCAUUUGAAACUGCUGAACUAGAGUGUGGUAGAGGGAAGUGGAAUUCCGGGUGUAGCGGUGAAAUGCGUAGAUAUCCGGAGGAACACCAGUGGCGAAGGCGACUUCCUGGACCAACACUGACGCUGAGGUACGAAAGCGUGGGUAGCAAACAGGAUUAGAUACCCUGGUAGUCCACGCCGUAAACGAUGUCAACUAGUUGUUGGGAGCAUUCUGGCUUUUAGUAACGUAGCUAACGCGAUAAGUUGACCGCCUGGGGAGUACGGCCGCAAGGUUA
rnacentral:rRNA from 1 species